rnacentral:rRNA from 1 species
AUUGAACGCUGGCGGCAGGCCUAACACAUGCAUGUCGAACGGUAACAGGAAACAGCUUGCUGUUUCGCUGACGAGUGGCGGACGGGUGAGUAAUGUCUGGGAAACUGCCUGAUGGAGGGGGAUAACUACUGGAAACGGUAGCUAAUACCGCAUAACGUCGCAAGACCAAAGAGGGGGACCUUCGGGCCUCUUGCCAUCGGAUGUGCCCAGAUGGGAUUAGCUAGUAGGUGGGGUAACGGCUCACCUAGGCGACGAUCCCUAGCUGGUCUGAGAGGAUGACCAGCCACACUGGAACUGAGACACGGUCCAGGCUCCUACGGGAGGCAGCAGUGGGGAAUAUUGCACAAUGGGCGCAAGCCUGAUGCAGCCAUGCCGCGUGUAUGAAGAAGGCCUUCGGGUUGUAAAGUACUUUCAGCGGGGAGGAAGGGAGUAAGGUUAAUACCUUUGCUCAUUGACGUUACCCGCAGAAGAAGCACCGGCUAACUCCGUGCCAGCCGCCGCCGUAA